rnacentral:rRNA from 1 species
GUGGGGAAUUUUGGACAAUGGGCGAAAGCCUGAUCCAGCCAUGCCGCGUGCAGGAUGAAGGCCUUCGGGUUGUAAACUGCUUUUGUACGGAACGAAAAGACUCCUUCUAAUAAAGGGGGUCCAUGACGGUACCGUAAGAAUAAGCACCGGCUAACUACGUGCCAGCAGCCGCGGUAAUACGUAGGGUGCAAGCGUUAAUCGGAAUUACUGGGCGUAAAGCGUGCGCAGGCGGUUAUAUAAGACAGAUGUGAAAUCCCCGGGCUCAACCUGGGAACUGCAUUUGUGACUGCAUAGCUAGAGUACGGCAGAGGGGGAUGGAAUUCCGCGUGUAGCAGUGAAAUGCGUAGAUAUGCGGAGGAACACCGAUGGCGAAGGCAAUCCCCUGGGCCUGUACUGACGCUCAUGCACGAAAGCGUGGGGAGCAAACAGGAUUAGAAACCCGUGUAGUCC